GAUGAACGCUGGCGGCGUGCCUAAUACAUGCAAGUCGAGCGAACGGACGAGAAGCUUGCUUCUCUGAUGUUAGCGGCGGACGGGCGAGUAACACGUGGAUAACCUACCUAUAAGACUGGGAUAACUUCGGGAAACCGGAGCUAAUACCGGAUGAUAUUUUGAACCGCAUGGUUCAAAAGUGAAAGACGGUCUUGCUGUCACUUAUAGAUGGAUCCGCGCUGCAUUAGCUAGUUGGUAAGGUAACGGCUUACCAAGGCAACGAUGCAUAGCCGACCUGAGAGGGUGAUCGGCCACACUGGAACUGAGACACGGUCCAGACUCCUACGGGAGGCAGCAGUAGGGAAUCUUCCGCAAUGGGCGAAAGCCUGACGGAGCAACGCCGCGUGAGUGAUGAAGGUCUUCGGAUCGUAAAACUCUGUUAUUAGGGAAGAACAUAUGUGUAAGUAACUGUGCACAUCUUGACGGUACCUAAUCAGAAAGCCACGGCUAACUACGUGCCAGCAGCCGCGGUAAUACGUAGGUGGCAAGCGUUAUCCGGAAUUAUUGGGCGUAAAGCGCGCGUAGGCGGUUUUUUAAGUCUGAUGUGAAAGCCCACGGCUCAACCGUGGAGGGUCAUUGGAAACUGGAAAACUUGAGUGCAGAAGAGGAAAGCGGAAUUCCAUGUGUAGCGGUGAAAUGCGCAGAGAUAUGGAGGAACACCAGUGGCGAAGGCGACUUUCUGGUCUGUAACUGACGCUGAUGUGCGAAAGCGUGGGGAUCAAACAGGAUUAGAUACCCUGGUAGUCCACGCCGUAAACGAUGAGUGCUAAGUGUUAGGGGGUUUCCGCCCCUUAGUGCUGCAGCUAACGCAUUAAGCACUCCGCCUGGGGAGUACGACCGCAAGGUUGAAACUCAAAGGAAUUGACGGGGACCCGCACAAGCGGUGGAGCAUGUGGUUUAAUUCGAAGCAACGCGAAGAACCUUACCAAAUCUUGACAUCCUUUGACAACUCUAGAGAUAGAGCCUUCCCCUUCGGGGGACAAAGUGACAGGUGGUGCAUGGUUGUCGUCAGCUCGUGUCGUGAGAUGUUGGGUUAAGUCCCGCAACGAGCGCAACCCUUAAGCUUAGUUGCCAUCAUUAAGUUGGGCACUCUAAGUUGACUGCCGGUGACAAACCGGAGGAAGGUGGGGAUGACGUCAAAUCAUCAUGCCCCUUAUGAUUUGGGCUACACACGUGCUACAAUGGACAAUACAAAGGGCAGCGAAACCGCGAGGUCAAGCAAAUCCCAUAAAGUUGUUCUCAGUUCGGAUUGUAGUCUGCAACUCGACUACAUGAAGCUGGAAUCGCUAGUAAUCGUAGAUCAGCAUGCUACGGUGAAUACGUUCCCGGGUCU
rnacentral:rRNA from 1 species